AAUUUUCGUUUUAGCACCUUCCUCCGUUACUUAACGGCGGAAUCCCCUGAUGCCGUCAUCCCCUUCUCUUCUAUAGACGUAGAGCCUAUAUAUAAAUACCUGUGCCUCGAUUUGUUUUCGUCUCCUUGUCUUUAGUCCGAAAAUUCUUUUGCUAUUUCGGGCUGAAACGGAAAUCCCGGGCUUCCGUAUGCAAACUUUCCGUUUCUGGGAACAUCAUCGGAUUCUCGGCCGAUAUAUCGCCGGCAUUUUUGUCCAUCCGAGAUAUUGUUGUCUGUUGUCCGUUGUCCGUUGUCCGUUUUCUGUUUCACCCAGGAGUAUCAAAAUUUCCUUCUUCUCAAGAUUUUUCAGCUGAUAUUCUCAAGCGAAAUUUAAGCUUUUGUAUUUUUCGUUUUCCCUCUCUG
rnacentral:lncRNA from 1 species